GCAGAAGUGGCCUAGUGGUUAAGGUACUGCCCUCCCACAUUGGCAGGCAGGGACGUGGGUUCGACUCCCGCCUUCUGCA